rnacentral:misc_RNA from 1 species
UCGGAGGAGGAGAGCGUCUCAGCUGAGCGGCGUAGUCAUUUUCGCGUUGGUGCUCUCUGGUACCUUUUGCUUUCCGUGUCUGUUUUGGUGUUGCUACUGUUCUCAGUCGGAACCCCUUGCAUGUAUUUCUUCUUUCCUCCUCCUCCUCUCCGCUCUUGCCAUCUCUGUCACUCACACAGACCCAGGGCACGAACUGUUUGUGAUUCGCUGUGUUUUCGCUGCUGCCCCAGAGGCGAGCGAGGUAGCGCUGUCACUGAGCGGCAGAAAACAAAGGUAAGACACAACAGCACCCCGUCGUCGUCAUCGCACGCACUCUGGGGGACGCACACACAGAGCCGGACGUGGUAGAGAUGCUCUACAGACGAGCGCUCGUGCUGUCGAGGCGGUCGCUGGCGGCGUACACUUUGCCUGCCUGCAGCGCCAGCGUGCGCUUCUGCGCCUCCUCCGCACUGCCGCCCUCGUCGUCAUCAUCUGACAAGCCGACGGCGGCGGCGAAGACACCUUCUGCGGGAACGCAGGCCGCGCCAGCAGCGAAGCAGGGCGAGGCGGACACCGCAGCUGCGGAUACGGUGGCUGCCGCCGGCACCCCAAGCAGGCAAGGAGCCACUUCGCCAUCAUCUGAGGAGGGAGUCUUUGCGCCUGCGCCGGCUUCGGUGUCUCCAUCGAGCACUGGUGCCGAGGCUAGCACAAAGGAGCCGUCGCAGCCGCACGAAAGAGGAGGGGCUUCACCGCCAGAGAAGCCGACGCCACCAGCACAGGGGGCGAAUGUAAAUGACGCCUUCGCCAAAGAUCGCGUCGUGCCGCGCGGGUUCGAGGCGUUUUACGCGAAGAACAUCGUGUCGAAGAUGCUGCCGCAGCGCAGUCCGACUGAUGCGGUGCAGCGCGCCUAUACAAUGUCGCCGCAGGAGCGCGUUCUGAUUGCGCAGAUCGCGGCACGGGCACGGCUGCAGCGGACGUGGCGCCACCUUGGCAUCCUCUCGGUGUUGCUCUCCGCACUUAUUGGAUACCGGUGGUACACGGCGCAGGCGCGGCUUGACGCUGACGUGUCGAACUACAAGGCGGUUGUCGUGGACGUGCCCGGCCAUACCGCCGUCUACGUGGACGACAACGGCAAGCUCAUCGGCGUGCGCAACUUCAUCGACUUUGCCACGUUCGAGAAGACCUGCGAUCCGGAAAAGGAUGUGCUGAUCCAGUUUAGCACCUACUACCCAUGGAUCCCGAUGCUGCUGCUAUGUCUACUGCCGGUGCUGGCUGUUGUGAACGCCGGCUUCAACGGGUCGGCGCGCAUGAUCACAAUGGCGGCGCAGGCGGAGAAGAGUCGGUUUACGUUCAAGCGAGAGAUGUCGGUAAGUACGCGGCUGAAGGACGUUGCGGGGCUGACGGAGGCAAAGCACGAGGUGGUGGAGGUGAUUGACUUCCUCAAGCACCCGGGGCGUUACCAGACGCUUGGUGCGAAGCUGCCGAAGGGCGUGCUGCUCGACGGCCCGCCUGGUGUCGGCAAGACGCUACUGGCCAAGGCGGUGGCUGGCGAGGCCAUGGUGCCGUUUGUCAGCUGCUCGGGCAGCGAGUUUGAGGAGGUGUACGUCGGCGUCGGCGCGCAGCGCGUGCGUGAGCUGUUUCGCGAGGCGCAUAACUGCAAGCCGUGUGUCGUGUUCAUAGACGAGAUCGACGCGUUUGGCCGCAAGCGCCGAUCAGAUGGCAACGGCAGCUCGCGGGGCACCUUGAACGCCUUCCUCGCGGCGCUUGACGGGUUCAAGGAUGCGUCUGGCAUCAUGGUGCUGGCGGCCACGAACCGCGCCGACAUCCUAGAUAACGCGCUGACUCGCUCCGGCCGCUUCGAUCGCAAGAUCUCGCUUGAGAAGCCGUCCUACAAGGAUCGUGUGGCGAUCGCCCUGGUGCAUCUGCAGCCGCUCCACCUUGACCCGUCGUCCUCGCUGCAGAACUACGCCGAGAUGGUAGCGGCGCUGACACCUGGCUGCAGCGGGGCAGACAUCUUCAACGUGUGCAACGAGGCAGCUAUCCAGGCGGCGCGUGAGGACAAGGAGUAUGUCGGGGCGCCGCACUUCCACUUGGCUGUCGAGCGGGUGCUCGUCGGUCUUGAAAAGAGCGCUGUCAAGUACACACCACACGAGAAAGAGCGACUGGCGUACCACGAGGCGGGGAUUGUGGUGCUGAAUUGGUUCCAGAGCGACACGGAUCCAGUCAUCAAGUCCACUAUCCUGCCGCGCGGCCGCCACCGCACGGGUGUGACGCAGAAGCUGCCGCAGAACAUCUACAUAUCGACGCAGGAGCGACUGCUGCAACGCAUUGUGGGCCGGCUGGGCGGCUACGUGUCAGAGGAGCACUUCUUCAGCGAUGUGUCGACGAGUGCGGCCGAGGAUUUGCAGAUGGCGACGAGCAUGGCACGCGACAUGGUGUGCGUGUAUGGCAUGGACCCGGUGCACAUUGGGCACAUGGGAUUCGAGCUGGACCGCGACGACACGCUGCAGAAACCGUUUGGCCCCGAGAAAGAGAAUGCGGUUGACAUUGCCGUGGAGACGAUUGUGCAGUCUUGCCUAAAGCGGGCGCGAGCUCUGAUGCUGGAGCACCUGAAUCACACCCGCAUCAUUGCUGGGCUGCUGCUGAAGCAGGAGACGCUGAAUGCACAUGAAAUGUGGUUCGCACUGGGCGACCGCCCUGUCAUGACGAAGGAGUUCCGGACCUACCUGGAGAGCUAAGGGCAAUGGCACGCGCUACUGACUGAGAGUAAAAAAAAGAAGAGAGGUUCCUAAAAAACAGCCGCGCACGCGGUGCGGUGUCAGCGCGUGCAGCGGAGUUGUCUGUGCUGUCGGCGCGCGCUCGUUUGCGCGUGUUCGUGUAUCCCUAUUACCUCUGUUUUCACCU